rnacentral:miRNA from 14 species
AAAAUCUCAAAUAGUGGCAUUUAC